rnacentral:lncRNA from 1 species
UUGGUUCAAUUCUAUUAGAACAACUUUACUAGGAAACAAAUCUCUUUACAUAAAGCGGAUAUAUAUACGGCUUUGCCGUCAUAGACGGGGACAUUCGAUCCUCUUCUCCAUUUGAGCGUUAAGAUAAAUCUCACGAUCUCUUCAAAAGAACGUCUCUUCUAUCUCCCUUUUGCUUGGUCCGGGUCACGACUCGUUAAUCACUCAUCCUCGUGACGCUCGUUGGCUUCUCUUUUAAGAAAGUUCAGCAGCUCUCAAAUAAUCUUUGUCACAUUGAAUCCUCGGGCAACGAAGCAAUAGUUGUGUAUUCCUCCAUUAAACUAUCAUCCUUCUCUUAUCACGUUUCCUUGGACCAUAUUCAGACAACCGUAUUAUUAUCCACUUUAUCAAGAAACCCAUCUCCUUAUGACAAGCUCUCUAUUUAACAACCGAACGUGAAUCAACACCUCUUUUUAUGAUGAAAAUGCAACGCAAUCAUAACAAAAAAAGAAAAUAGGUUAGUACAAAGCAAAAGCAAACAACAAUAGAACACCUAUUACGGUGAAUACUAGGGAAUCGAAGUUGUUCUACCUAGGGUGGGCUCCUAAGGUUCACUACAUGAGGUUUGGUUCUAAAGCAAAGGUACCCGAACCAGCAGAUUCCUCGAUCCUCACCCAUUAUAGGCUCAUACGGACCGAGUUCAGUUCAGGGGAAUACAUUUCCCUAUAGCUUCACGGAGAUGAAAAUCUCACGAAAACAUAGGUACGGAUGUAUCCUGAAAGCGAUCCACUAUCCUGCACGGAGGUGAAGACCUCACGAAGGAAAUAGCUUCUCACUCCCACUUAAAAGGGUGUGACCAAUGGUCAUGCAAUGCAAUGCAGAGAUAUAAAAAUAAAAUACAAAAUAUGAUGAAAAAUAUGACUCAAAACAAAAGAGAUGCAACGAGAGUAUCGUAAAUUUAAAUCAAAUUUUUAACUUUCGACAAAAAGACGAGAAAUAAUCAACACGUGGCUUGACUCUCUUAUUUUGUCCCCAGUGGAGUAGCCAAGCUGUUGACACCAUUUUUUUGAUGAAAACGGGGUCGACUUGGAUUUUGAAAAUGAAAACAAAAACGAGAGUCGCCACCAAUCCUUUUUUGAUGAGGUGUGACCGGGUCACCUCGAAAAGUGGUUAUUUUUAAUAAACGAUUUAAUUUUUAUUAAAACAACGAUUUUGGUCUACGAAAUUCAGAAAAACGGGUUCGAGAGUCGGUUACACACGAGGAAGGAUUAGCACCCUCGAUACGCCCAAAAUUGGUACCUAGUUGAUUACUUAAUGUCUUGGUGUCGAAAAUUGAGAACUUUAAAGAAUUUAAAAAUACGAUCCUUCUUUAUGCGUGUUAUUUUAAAAUUACUCGGAUAAAUCAAAAUGGAAAAAUGCCUUCUUAUCUCGAAGUAACAAGAUGUCACAUCCAGUAAGUUAGGACACAACACAUUGUAUUUUCGAGAGUAAGCUUGCCUUUAUUUUUUGUUUGAACCUCAUUUAUUUCAAUUUUAAAAGGAUAUUCGGUUAUUUAAGUUCAAUACGAGAAAAAUCGAAACCCAGUAAGUUAGGGCACGACUUCUCGAAUUUCUAAAUACAGAAUAUUGCCUUUAUUAAUUUUUAAAAAUCCUCGUCUCGAGAAAACAACGUGUCAUAUUCAAUGCGUUAGGACACAACGUAUUGAAUUCCCGAUAAUGAGCUUUUUAUUUAUGUUUUCUUUAUUAAAGAGGAUUCUCGAUUAUUUAGAUUCAACGAAAAAAAUUAAAACCCAGCACGUUAGGGCCUAAUUCCCUCGAAGAUCCCAAGUAUCGAGUAUUGCCUUUAUUUCUAAAAAUUUUAUGUUUUAGAAAUUUAAAAGGAUAUUUUGCUAUUUAGGUUUAACGAGAAAAUCGAUGCCCAGUAAGUUAAGGUACAAUUUCUCGAAUUUCUAAACGUAAAAUAUUGCCUUGUUUAAAAAAUUUCUUUUUGAUGUAUGGUGCUAAAAUGCAUGGCGAAACAAUAAUGAAUAUGAUAGCAUAAAAACAACACGAGUAAUAGCAACAAAAAGAAGAUUAUUAAAUAUAAAUAAUAAUGAAAAUGAAGAUAAAUAAAUAACGAAUAGAUUGUAAAAAAUGUAUAUACAUGAAUGUACACAAAAUUAUAAAAAUAUGAAAAAUCUAUGUAUAUAUACAUAUUUUAAAAUUAUUAAGUAUAAAAAAUGUAUAAGGAUAUAUAUAUAUAUAUGUAUAUGUAUAUGUUGUAGAAAUGUACGCAUGUAUAUAUACGUAUGCUUUGAAAUUAUAAAAUAUAAAAAAAACAUUUAUGUGUAUGUAUAUGUAUGAGUUAUAAAAUAUACAUGCAUGUCUAUACAUGUAUUAUAAAAACGUAUGUAUAUAAGUGUACACAUAUAUGUAUAUAUAAAGUAUAUAAAUAAUAUAUAUGUAUAUAUAUAAAUAAAUUUAAAAAAUAUGUACGUAUGUAUGUGUUUAUAACAAAAUGUAUGUAUGUACAUAUAUACAACAAAAUUUGGAAUUAAAAUGACAUAAAUAAGUAAAUAAUAAUAAUAAUAAUAAUAACGUAAUAUAAUAGUAAUAAUAAUAUUAAAAUAAUUAAUUUAAUGAUAAAAUAACUGAAAUAAUAAAUAAAGGAUUAAAUGGAAAACUAAACUAAAAUUUGGGGUUUAAAUUCGCAAAUAAGUAAAAGAGGCGAUUCGGGGCUGAAAUGGAAUGCGCCUAAAGGCUGGAGGACUGAUCAGGAAAUAUGCCCCAGUCCCAGAGUGCAGCGUUUCAAUGCAAAUGACCGCAGAUGGUCAAGGGACCUGAUUGAAGCAAAAACAAAAUUCGCAGCCCAAAUCUAAAAGAAACAAAAAGUUAUAUUGCACCUCAGCGCAAGAUGGAGGGACUAAAUGCAUAAAUUACCC